GACGAACGCUGGCGGCAGGCUUAACACAUGCAAGUCGAGCGCCCCUCUUCAAGCGAGCUUGAAGGACCUUAAAACAAACAAGCGACCCGAAGGGUCGCCUUGAUGGAGGGGAGCGGCAGACGGGUGAGUAACGCGUGGGAACGUGCCCUUCGGUUCGGAAUAGCUCCGGGAAACUGGAAUUAAUACCGGAUACGCCCCUAGGGGAAAGAUUUAUCGCCGAAGGAUCGGCCCGCGUCAGAUUAGGUAGUGGUGGGGUAA
rnacentral:rRNA from 1 species